AAAUUCUAAAACAAUGUUUGAACAAGUAAUUUUGGGUCCGUAAUAUAGCCCAAAUAACAAAAAUGCCCGAAAAAGUACUUAAAGGUCAAAAUCUGGGGUCCAGAAAAAGUCAAUGGAAAGGCUCCAUUGUCAUGCUUCUUUCGUCGGAGGGCUCUCUUUGGGCUUUACAAAAAGGUAUCACAUGCCAAGUUUGGCCUCACUGUAUAAAAGUUAUAGAGUCAUAAAGUUUUAACCAAAAAAAAGAAAUUAAAAAAAAGAGGGUUGCAACACGAGGACUUCCCGGGAGGUGACCCAUCCUAGUACUACUCUCGCCCAAGCACACUUAACUAAAGGUCAAAAUUUGGAGUCGACAAAAAAUCAAUGCAUAUGUUCCAUUGUCCUGCUUCUUUCAUCGGAGGGCUCUCUUUCGGCUUUCCGAAAAGGUAUCAUAUGCCAAGUUUGGCCUCACUGUAUAAAAGUUAUAGAGUCAUAAAGUUUUAAUCAAAG
rnacentral:sRNA from 1 species